rnacentral:rRNA from 1 species
GUACCUUUUGUAUAAUGGGUCAGCGACUUACUUGUCUGUAGCAAGCCUAACCGUAUAGGGGAGGCGCAGGGAAACCGAGUCUUAAUAGGGCGAUUAGUUGCAGGCAGUAGACCCGAAACCCGUCGAUCUAUCCAUGACCAGGGUGAAGUUGUGGUAACACACAAUGGAGGCCCGAACUCACGCCUUUUGAAAAAGUCGGAGAUGAGUUGUGGAUAGGAGUGAAAGGCUAAUCAAGGCGGGUGAUAGCUGGUUCUCCUCGAAAGCUAUUUAGGUAGCGCCUCGUGUAUGACUCCGGGGGGUAGAGCACUGUUACGGUCUGGGGGUUGCACAAGUACCUACCCAACUGUUGCAAACU